UGGGGACCAGCGGAGCUUUUUACAAGAAGUCACGGGGGGUAGGGGAACCGAGAGGGUGAAAAACGCCCUGCGGAGCUGCCUGGGCGGGGAGGGAACCUGCGCCCGGAGCCACGUGCUGGAGCCGGCGCUGGGUGGGUGGCUUGGCGAGGCGUGGGGGAGGGAGAGGCCCUUGCUGGGAAAGGCCCCAGGCCACGUUUCUGGGGGAGGAGAAGAACCGCGGGUGGACACGCUCGGCCCCAGGCCACCAGGGAAUGUUCGUGUCUGGAAAACGCGGCCCAGAUCCCUUUGAUGGGAGCAGCUCUGGCCAAGCCUGGAGGGCUGGCCCUGCCUGCUUAGGGUUGGACCUGAAGAAAUGCAGUGGCCUAACCCAAUGGCCUCCGCUGACCUCGGUGGGAUGGGGUUAGGGCUGGAGGCACCUCCACCUCCCACCCCUCAAAGAGGAUGUCUGUCCAAGGGUCAAAGAAUUGGAGAGGCUGAGUAAGUUGACGGUGGGUGGCUGCCCAGUGAAGGCGGGGGGAGUAGUAAGAAGAAGGAAGGAGGCGUAAAAAGAAGGAAGAAGAAUUUUAAGAACAUGCCAAGGACAUAACUGCAGUCCUUGGAAAGUUUCUUUCCAGGAUUUGACUUGCCGUUCUUUCCAAAGCCACGGCUCGACAAGUGAUGCCAGCCCAUGGAGGGGGUGUUGUGUCUCAUCUUGCAGGCAGAAGUAGCACAACAGCUGGGUGAACCAAACCCAUCCAGAUCUGUCCAGAGCUGUUUGUCAGUAUGGCCUCACAGGACCACGUGAGCUGCCUCUUGCCCCAUGUGACCCCCAUUCAAACUCAGGCAGAGCAAGAGCUCCCGGCCCCCUUCUCCUUGGGCAGCCUUCUCGCAAGUGUGUGGAUGGGUGGCUCAUUCCUGCCAGGUCAAAAUAGCAUUGAGCCAGACUUCUGGGAAGCUCUGUAUUCCAGGCCUCUGUAGAAGAGUUAAAAAUAACAGCUCUUGGGAAGCCAGGGGGUCUAGUUUGCUGAGGUGGGACAAGAUGCAGAGCCCUGUGACAUCAAAGGGCAGAAAUACUGGCUGGGGAUCUGUAUGGAAAGUGUUAGUAGCAGGAGGUCCUGGGCCCUGUGUGGUUGCCCUUCGGGGAAGUUGGUGGGCUGGACCAGUGGGGGUUAUCCUAGGAGGCUAAGGCCAGGUGCAGAAUGGGGGCUGUGGCCGGAUACUUAAGCCACAAACACUGCAACCCCCAACUUCCACUUUUUUUUCAUGCUGAGAACUCUCUUGGUAGAGGCUGCUUCCUCCAGUGUUUUAAAUUCUGAUUUCUCAUGUAUCUGUCAGAGAGACAGUUAUCACGAACUGGGUGAAGCUCUUUUCUGCCAUUCCACAAUCUGUGGACUUGCAGCCCUCCGCACCUGCAUGUAACCCUUACCAUGCUUUGCCUGGCCUGAGAGGUUUUGCUGUCUUCAACUUCCCUCUCUACCCGGAGGCCUACUGGGAGGCCCAGAGUUUCAUCUUUGCAACUCCCUCUUGGUGGAACUCAUGGGGAAGUGAAUUAGCUGUCAUCUCUGCCCUCCUCUGCCCCACACUUGGCCUGAUAGCCUCCUUUGUGUCUGAGGGCACUUCCUGUUUGCUGUGUCUGCUGCUUCCACAAGAGCUUCAUCCUGGGUUUUGACCCAACCUGCUCUUUGCCUGACAGUUCCGCCCAGCCUUUGGGACCCUGGCUUGUUAUCCUGAUUGACACCUGGCAGCUGUUCAGCAGGGAGAGCUUAUGCAUCUUCCCUUAGCAGUUGGAACUAGGGCAAAGGGUCGAUGGUGCCUAAGUGUACUUCACUAAAGCCAGCCAGCCCGUUGCGUGUGCCUGCACAUCCAGGAAUGCAGGUGGACCUAACUGAAGCUAACAUGUCGUGUAAAUCCACAGUCAUACAAAAAAUAAGGGCUGCAACCCUUCACAAAACUUUUUUCAAAGCAUACCAUUAAAUAUGAGAUUCCUGGUAUGUAUUUAGAGGGCUCAUUUUCCUUGCAACUUCUGAGAAAUAGAUAUAUUGAAAGUGAGAUACAAAAUUAGGAGAUGAAUUAGCAGAGAUUAGACUAUUUUCAGGGGUCGUGUAACAAAGUCCUGUAUUACUGCAGAUGCCAGAAAAGUUGGAGAUGAAACUGAGCCGAAUGAGGAAUAUCUUGCCUCAAAAGAUUUGGCGUAACUCCUCAAAACAUCUGGCAUCCCUUGGUAGCGUUUAUCACUCCACUGAAAAGUUGACCUUCUUCAGCCAUCCUUGACCACAUAAUGGAGCAGAGAGUGGGGCACUGUGUGUCAGAAAAUCUGGUUCCGUCUCUGGCUCUGCCGUGUCUGAGCUCUGCUACCUUGGGCCACCUGCUGAUCUGUCUGUGCCUUGGUUUCUUCUCCUGUAAAAUAGAGAUCCUUAUACCUACCUCUUAGGACUCUUGUGGGGACCAGAGGAGGUAAUUGACACUUGGUGGGUGCUCAGUAAAGGGUAGCUUACAAUGUUUUAGACUUUCUAACUUGGGAUAACAACUUCCUUAAGUGUAUAAUCUUCUCCAUUGGGAUUCUUUAGGUUUAGGGUCAAGAAGAAUUGGGAUUCUUCUGUCCAAGGUCAAGAAGGUCAAACAGAGAGCAUUGAGCUCUUUUUCAGAAGCCACUGGAGCAAAGACCAACAUCUCUAGGAGAGCUCCUCUAAGACUCCAGUAACGUCCAGCCUACGCAGUGUCUUCUCUUGUUGGAGUGUGGCUCUUGGAGCCCGACUGCCUGGGUUCAUGUCCUGGCUCUGAACCGGCUCAUACUUGGGCGCAUUCCUUAAUCUCUCUCUGCCUCAGAUCCCUCACCUCUGAUGUGGGGAUUAGAACAUCUACAGCCUAGAGUUGUUGGGAUUACAAUGUCAACAGCCAUAAAAGACUUAAAAUAGUAGCUGGUACACGAUAAGUACUAUAUAAGUGCUAGCAGCCAUCAUUUUUACUAUUAUGAUGAUGAUUCAUCUCUUCCCUUUCCUUCGACAUCUCCAGUCCCAUCUUUAUCAAUGCACUCUCCUCCUGAAGCCUCGGUGACUGAACAGAGCCAUCCUUAUAGGGUGGUGUGAGAGGACUUGGAAGGCUGCAGACUCUCACAUGGAGAUGAACCUGUGCCUGAUGUCUGAGAAGGUGUAGGGACCCCUACAGAUGGUUCUGAGGUGGGAAGGAGCAAGUCGCCCUCCACUGUACUGAACGAACGGGGACCCAUCCGCUUGCAGCAGGGGGCGUAUCUCCUGGUGGGGACGGAGCUUUGGCUUUGAGUCCAAACAGUUUUACUCAGGGGAAAACUCGUCAGUCAGAGGAGUGCCGAACAUGUCCAGAUGGAGGUGAAACCGCACAACUGGUCUCAGAUGGGAUGAAACCUCACAACUCAGAUGGGACUUGAACCCAGCCAAAAUUCUGAUUGGGACUUGAACCCACUGUCUUUUAAUUGAAAUCACACACAUGGUCUCAGGACUUAAUGAAGCUCAGGUUCUUUGUGUCUCACCUCAGAAGGAAUUCAGCUAGAGGCAAAGUGAAAGUGGCCCAGUUUGGAAGAUGAAUUAUAUAUUCACCCUCCUUAGAACGUCAAGGAGGAGAAAAUGUAGAUGUGAAAUACUGCAAAGAGGACAAGUAAGACUCCUGCCUGGAAGCAACAGAUCUGAAAUCCCACAGUAGGACAGACAGCAAGAUCAUGGCCAUAAAGAAUUCAGGAAUAGGUGAUCCUUGGCAGGUUGGUUGGCAGCUGGCAUCAGAUUUAGGAAUUUUUUCAUAUAGGCUCUGGACGCACAGGCUUAGCAGCCAUGGCUCACGGGCCCAGCCGCUCCGCGGCGUGUGGGAUCUUCCCGGACCGGGGCACGAACCCGUGUCCCCUGCAUCGGCAGGCGGACUCUCAACCACUGCGCCACCAGGGAAGCCCCGAUUUUUCUUUCUUAUAACUAAAAGAAUCUUAACUCCUAGAGAUUAUAUUUGAGAUCUCUUUAUUAUUCAUAUAAAUAUUAGGCCAUAAGUAUUAUUCUGAUUCUCUUCCCAGUGAUAAUGUCCUGAAAAUCUCACGUACCGUCUGCCGUGGUUGCAUCUUAAAAGCGGGAAUGUUGGCUUCAGUCAGACUUAUUUCAAGUCUCACCUCUGCCUCUUUGAGCCUGAGUUUCCUUAUGGGGAACACCUCUAUUAAGCUGAGAUACAGAGAGACUGAAACACUGAUACUUCCACUUUAAGAGCCCAGAGCCUUUCAGUCAACACGAGUGCUGCCUACCUGGAUAUCCUGAGUCUCUGCUACCAUCCAGCCCCAGGUCUGGUUAGGACAGAAUUCAAGCAUCGACUGAGAUCCACAUGGACAAAUGAACUCAGGGUCACUGUUGCAUCUAGAAGGGUAGGAACCACUUCUCUCUGUAGGAGCCCCAUGGAAAGGAAAGGACAAGCACAGAAUCCCAGGCUGUCUUGCUACUGGUGUCUGGUCGUGGUAGGGGUCACCAGUGGCCCUGAAUAAGUCCACCUGCCAGAUGGUUGGAUAGCCUACAGGGCUGUCCUGGGUUUAUCUUCUUGGCUGCAAGCCUCCGAGCUCCUGCCCAGACUUGCAUCAGGAGCUGUGGGGUGUUGUCUGAGUUGCCAGAUUCCAUCCACAAGCAGAGACUGCUCACCACUGGUAACAUCCAACCAUUCAGCAAUGAGCUUCCGGGCAAUUCUUUCAAGAGACUAGAUGGAUACCUGCAGCCAGACUUUAUCAGACUUACCAAAGUUUGACCUUAUAAACAGUUCAGUUUUCCAGAGUUCUCUGGCUUGCGUGUGGUUGACAGCUGCACCCUGCCAAGUUCUGAGUCCAACUUUGAAAUGUUUAUCCUCCACUACCUGCUCCAGAGCACAAGCAAUGCUUGGCCCAAACAUAGGACCUUGAUGAAUUAAGUGAGGUCACUCAGAAGUUUCACUGCUUGUGUGGAAGCAACGUCAGGAGUUACAAUACUGUCUUCUUCUGGCAAAGUAUUAGUCAGCAGUACUGACUGAACAAAUCGGCAGGCUGGGGAUCCUCACACGUUAAACCUGCCUUGACAACCCAGGGACCUUGAUGCGGAAUCCAGAGUUUCACCCUCAAAGGACCUGACUCAAAAGGAAAAGCUCUGCUUCAAGGUUUACGGCCUGCCGAAAAAAUGAUUAAGAUGUGUAAACACACAGCAGGAAGAUUCUCUUCACUGUUCAGGUGAUAAGGGACUUCAAAUACAUGAAUGGCAUCCACACAGAAAAGGAAUUAGAUUUGGUUGGGGUGGAACUCCACAAUGGCAGAACUGGGAUUAGUGGGAUGGAAGCUAUAGGAAGAAGUAUCCACUUGGUACGAGGAAAAAACUUUUGAACAAUUAUAAUUAUGUUAAAAUAAAAAUGAAGUGCCCCAGGAGGUGGUGAGCAGCUGAGCACUGGAACCAUUGAAUCAGGGGGUGGAGGGGUCACCUGUCAGGAUACUGGGAAGGGUUUGAGCUGAUGUCAAAGGAGAUCCAACUCAGGUCUAGGAUUCUGUGAUGAAUGUUGGGGCUAGAAAGUUAUAUACACAGAGUUACUCCCUGUCCGGGGCCAGGGAAAUGCUUUUCAGACAGGACUAAGGAGAAAGGAUUUCCACAUGGGAAGACUUGUUACAGAAAACAUUAUUUCAAUGGGUAGUUAACAAAAUAGAGCAUGCAUGUGAACUUAUUUACAAAAUGGAGAUGGUGUUAUUCACGUUGGUCACAGGGCUGCUGUAAAUACUGAGACAAUAUAGGGAUGUGCUUGGAACAGAGCCUUAGCUCAGUAAGUGUUCGAGAUUAUUAAUAGAUUAUUUACAAUGUGUAAAAGUUAGCUGGUCAAUUUCUUUCUGAGGACAUAGUCAUUAGAUGGCUACUGAAAUAACUAGGAAUCUAUAAAAAUUGACUGUGGUAUAUUGCCCAUGGUAGAGUAGGAGGAGAUAGGUUUUGGGGUUUAGAAACUAAAACUUGGUUAAUAUACCCACUUCUCCAAUCACAGGAGAUAGUAACUAUCUGUAAUGCCACAUUCAAAUACAGAAUACAGUAACUUGCGUUACCUACAUACAGUUUACAGUGUACAUUUACCUCUUUUGCAUAUAGAUGGAGACAUAUGGCAUAAGUAUUUACAUGCAUAUUUAUAAUUACUCUAAUUCCUUGAAGUUAGGAAGUUAAGCAGUGAAAAUAUUCUUAUAAAGUUAUAAAAUUGGUCCCUACUAAAACAUCACUUCUCAGGUAAUACUACUACCCCCUACUUCUUCUGUGAUAGGGCUUUAAAAGUCCAAGUAAAGUGAAAGAUGUUAUGAUUUAUAAUUUUGUCAGAAAAUGUAUGCUGAGAAAAAUAACAUAUAAUUCAUUCUCUAAGAAUCAGUCCAUGUUUGGGACUUCCCUGGUGGCGCAGUGGUUAAGACUCCGCACUCCCAAUGCAGGGGGCCCGGGGUUCGAUCCCUGGUCAGGG